rnacentral:rRNA from 1 species
UACGAAGGGGGCUAGCGUUGCUCGGAAUCACUGGGCGUAAAGCGCACGUAGGCGGAUUGUUAAGUCAGGGGUGAAAUCCUGGAGCUCAACUCCAGAACUGCCUUUGAUACUGGCGAUCUCGAGUCCGGGAGAGGUGAGUGGAACUGCGAGUGUAGAGGUGAAAUUCGUAGAUAUUCGCAAGAACACCAAUUGCGAAGGCAGCUCACUACACGAAUAUUGACACUGAGGCACGAAAGCGUGGGGAUCAAACAGG